UCUGUGGUAGCUUAAAGGUAGAGUCCCAACUGGUAAUUGGAACGUCGCGGGCUUGACUCCCGUUUGCGGAA
rnacentral:tRNA from 1 species